UACAAACUUAAUUUUGUUCCUCUUCAGUCU
rnacentral:piRNA from 1 species